rnacentral:rRNA from 1 species
UAAAGAAUUUCGGUCAUCGAUGGGGAUGCGUUCCAUUAGCUUGUUGGCGGGGUAACGGCCCACCAAGGCAUCGAUGGAUAGGGGUUCUGAGAGGAAGGUCCCCCACAUUGGAACUGAGACACGGUCCAAACUCCUACGGGAGGCAGCAGUGAGGAAUAUUGGUCAAUGGGCGCUAGCCUGAACCAGCCAAGUAGCGUGAAGGAUGACUGCCCUAUGGGUUGUAAACUUCUUUUAUAUGGGAAUAAAGUGCAGUAUGUAUACUGCUUUGCAUGUACCUUAUGAAUAAGGAUCGGCUAACUCCGUGCCAGCAGCCGCGGUAAUACGGAGGAUCCGAGCGUUAUCCGGAUUUAUUGGGUUUAAAGGGAGCGUAGGCGGGUUGUUAAGUCAGUUGUGAAAGUUUGCGGCUCAACCGUAAAAUUGCAGUUGAUACUGGCAUCCUUGAGUACAGUAGAGGUAGGCGGAAUUCGUGGUGUAGCGGUGAAAUGCUUAGAUAUCACGAAGAACUCCGAUUGCGAAGGCAGCCUGCUGGACUGUAACUGACGCUGAUGCUCGAAAGUGUGGGUAUCAAACAGGAUUAGAUACCCUGGUAGUCCACACAGUAAACGAUGAAUACUCGCUGUUUGCGAUAUA